AGCAGUCUAGAAGUUGGCCUAUAGAUAAACUCAGGAUGACUUAUGUGUCUGUUAAUGUGGGAGUUUAUGUCAUUCAGGCUUGUAUUUGGAUAUACCUCUCGGUAGAUGACAGCAUCACGGUUCAUUUUGUGAGAAAGCUAUUUAUUGCAGGUUUGUGUAGUUCUAUUCAUUGUUUAAUAUCACAAACUUGUGUUUUAGAGAUUGAAACUUUACUCCCUUUUCAACAUCUCUAAAACCAACUUAGUUUAAUAAAUAAAUUGUGUUGAUACAUCAAUGUCCACUUGGAACCGUGAAAGUAGCAUUAAAAACAAGUUACUAAUUAUUUGUUUUCAAACGAAACUUGGAUUAUAUUUAAAAAUAUUACAAUAGAGAAUAUAUAUAUAUUUUUGAUUAAAGAUUAGUUGUUUUUUCAUUUUUUUGUUAAAACCACAAGUGGACCAAACUCAUAAGUUUUCAAAGAAUUUUGAACCUUCGCCAAACUGUAAUAUCUGAGAACUGAAUGAAACUGAGUCUUUGAUCUGAUUUAGUUAGGGGUUUAGACUCAUGUUUUAUAACUGAUGAUCUGAUUAUUGCAACUUGUAGCCGCAAUAAACAGUUUUUAAUAUUUAGAUAAACAAAUUUGGCUUCUGAUUAUUUCAUUAUUUUAUGGAUCAUAUAAUGAGUAUCGUAUGAAGCUGAAACAAAGUUGGUUAUCUAUGUUUAAACCUGAUUUUAACCUUAGUUAAUAGAAUUUUACUCUUUGCAUAGAGAAUGUCCUCUUUCCUCAUUUUAUAAGUUAAUUCCUUAAAAUUUCCCAAAUACUCACAAACAUGACCAUCUGAUAUUUACAACUUCAAACUACAGAGGCACUUCCAAACACUCAUACAAACUCCCACUUAGUCUCAUUAUGUGGUUUGUGUGGCUCAUUUAUGCUGUAUUAUGCAGUUGUGUCAUUCAUGACAGCAAUGGGAUUAUUGGUUUAUGGAGGGAGGUGAAUCUUGUAAAUCUUCUAGGCUUAUAUUAUAUUAACAUGUAUUAUUAGUUAAUCUGUUUCGAUUUUCUUUCUUCGCCUUGUCAAAUUUCAUGGAUUAUUUGUAUAUUCAACGCCUUUAUAUUAUAUAUCAUGCUGCGACGUUUCCCCAUAGACUCUAAAGGGAGAAGGAGUAAACUUCAUGAGUGACGGAACGUUUGUUUGAGGGCGUUAUCAAAACAGAGUGGAAUUAGGGGAAGAUAGCCGCAAAGGCGUCUUCUCAGCAACCAUGGUUUAUGACUAAUACGCCGUUAAUUGAGACUUCUGAUACUAAUCAGAUUGUUGUGCCUGAACGACAACGAGGUUAUGUCGGAUUUACGUCGGGACGAUGCACCAAUGCGCACAUUAGGUGGAUCAGGUGACUUGUAUUCCUUCAGAGGGCUGGCAAGUAGAACAUGGUGUCGGAGACUCACAACCAAGUUGUAUGAUGGACUUUCCUUAUCACUAGGCCUAGCCAUCAUUUUCAGUUGUCACUAUUGAGCAGAGUCCGAGGAGCUUAACAUCUUGGUGCAGUCAGGCUCUAUGUGUUUGGAAAUUCAAUAAUUAAGAUGAUGUUAGCUAAGCACCCCCACCAGUCGAUCUUACAGCUAACAUGAGGGAGGUAAAUCACUAUGUCACAGGCACGUGGGUGGUGCUUAGUUUUGAUCUUGGAAUUCAAUAAGAUUGACUCGCUAUGUAUGGUUAAUUAUGAUCAAACCUUAACAAAUAAUAGUUAGAUCAAAGGUUGUCAUUUUUUAUUAUGUUUAUGCUAAAGAAAGUAUGAUAAGAAUGGAGUUUAAUUCUUAAAAAAAA